GACGAACGCUGGCGGCGUGCCUAAUACAUGCAAGUUGAGCGCUGAAGGUUGGUACUUGUACCAACUGGAUGAGCAGCGGACGGGUGAGUAACGCGUGGGGAAUCUGCCUUUGAGAGGGGGACAACAUUUGGAAACGAAUGCUAAUACCGCAUAAAAACUUUAAACACAAGUUUUAAGUUUGAAAGAUGCAAUUGCAUCACUCAAAGAUGAUCCCGCGUUGUAUUAGCUAGUUGGUGAGGUAAAGGCUCAACAAGGCGAUGAUACAUAGCCGAACUGGGAGGGUGAUCGGGCCAAAUGGGAAUGAGACACGGCCCAAACCUCUACGGGAGGGAGCAGGAGGGAAGUCUCGGGAAUGGACGGAAGGCUGAACGAGACACGCCGCGUGAGGGAAGAAGGGUUUCGGAUCGGAAAACUCGGUUGGUAGAGAAGAAAGUUGGUGAGAGUGGAAAGCGCAUCAAGUGACGGUAACUACUCAGAAAGGGACGGCUAACUACGUG
rnacentral:rRNA from 1 species